rnacentral:rRNA from 1 species
AGCGAACGCUGGCGGUAGGCUUAACACAUGCAAGUCGAACGGCAGCACAGUAAGAGCUUGCUCUUACGGGUGGCGAGUGGCGGACGGGAGAGGAAUAUAUCGUAAUCUACUUUUUCGGGGGGGUUAACGUAAGGAGACUUACGCCAAUACCGCAUACGACCUACGGGUGAAAGCAGGGGAUCUUCGCACCUUGCGCGAUUGGACGCGCCGCUGUCGGGUUAGCUAGUUGGCGGGGGAAAGGCCCACCAAGGGGACGAUCCGUAGCUGGACUGAGUGGAUGGUCAGCCGGACUGGAACUGAGACACGGUCCAGUCUCCUUGGGGUGGGAGCAGUGGUGAUUCUUGGGCCAUGGGCGCAAGCCUGAUCCAGCCAUACCGCGUGGGUGAAGAAGGCCUUCGGGUUGUAAAUCCCUUUUGUUGGGAAAGAAAAGGAGCAGGUUUAUGCCCCGGUGUUCUGACGGUACCCGAAUAAUGAGCCCCGGCUAACUUAGUU